UACAGAGGCCUCGAGCGUUGUUCGGAAUUACUGGGCGUAAAGGGAAUGUAGGUGGUCAUGUAAGUCAGAUGUGAAAGCCCUAGGCUUAACCUGGGAAGCGCAUUUGAUACUGCGUGGCUGGAGUGCGAGAGAGGAAAGCGGAAUUCCUGGUGUAGGAGUGAAAUCCGUAGAUAUCAGGAGGAAUACCGAUGGCGAAGGCAGCUUUCUGGCUCGUAACUGACACUGAGAUUCGAAAGCUUGGGUAGCAAACAGG
rnacentral:rRNA from 1 species